rnacentral:tRNA from 1 species
GAGGGUAGAGCUCAGUGGUAGAGCAUGUGCUCAGCAUGCACGAGGUCCUGGGUUCAAUCCCCAGUACCUCCA